AUCUAAAAUGGUGGUCUCCAGGACGAGUCCUAGGGCUACCUUCCUCCCUCUGUCUUUAGUUCUUGUGGUGACCCUAGUGGGGAGGAUAGCUGCCACCGACAGCGACAAAAACAGAACGGUGUCUAGUAUAUUCCCAGAUUUUGGAGCACUAGCUAUGUUAUUUUCAAAGACAGUUGAUGAGUUCCUUAACAAUACGCUGUCGAUGUUUAAGGACUUGCCUCCCAACUACAAGAACACGUCAACAGAGAUUUUUCUUAGAUUCUAAACAAAAACGGCACCAACUAUUUGAAGAAUACCACUAUCAUAAAAGAGUCCACAAACGGAUCUUUUACCGGAAUGUUCAUGCAAAAAUCACAAAAGAUGGAAAAUGGGACGUCUAUCACGUAGGCACUUCAAGCAAGAAAACGGUCGUAAUUGCUAAAAAAGGAUAAAAUGUAAUCAAAAUGUAACGCGCAAAAUGAUAGCAAUUAACAUCUUUGAAUAU
rnacentral:misc_RNA from 1 species